rnacentral:rRNA from 1 species
AUGGCGAAGAACCACGGAGCCGCCGCUCUCCUGAUCGCGUCCCUUCUCGUGGUCGCGGUCACCCUCGCCGACGCCAGGGUCACCUUGCAGGUGCAGCGCCACAGCGUUAACGGAGGCUAUGCGGCGAAGGCGGUGCCAGCGCUGACCUGCAACAAGGUGAACGCGGUGCAGUCGGGCGACACCUGCUCCUCCAUCGCGGACGGCGCCGGUCUGGCCCAGGAGGAUUUCCUGGGCUUCAACCCCAACAUCAACUGCGUCAAGAUCUUCCUUGGCCAGUGGGUCUGCCUUGACGCAUCUGCUGCUUAA